rnacentral:rRNA from 1 species
UACGGAGGGUGCAAGCGUUAUCCGGAUUCACUGGGUUUAAAGGGUGCGUAGGUGGGCUAGUAAGUCCGUGGUGAAAUCUCCAAGCUUAACUUGGAAACUGCCGUGGAUACUAUUAGUCUUGAAUCUCGUGGAGGUAAGCGGAAUAUGUCAUGUAGCGGUGAAAUGCUUAGAUAUGACAUAGAACACCGAUAGCGAAGGCAGCUUGCUACACGAGUAUUGACACUGAGGCACGAAAGCGUGGGAUCAAACAGG